rnacentral:lncRNA from 1 species
GCCCCAACCAGACUGUCUUGCGAAUCUGGACAAGAUGGCCCUUCUUGAGUCAGUCUGGACUCCAGACUGAGGUGCACUAGUGAGUCAGGGGAAUGUUGGUGGAAAGGUGGAAGUCGGGAAGGUGACCAGUGGUCAACAGGCUCAAGCCAUCCAGGCACACACACCGUGUGGGUGUGCCCAGCACCUUGGGGGAUGAAGCAGCUUCUAGUAGAGGGACUCCCCUGGAUGGGAAGCCAACAUGCCUGAAGCCAAGAGAGAGCGGGCUCCGGCAUCUACCGUAUCUCUUCCUACACAGUGUAAGCAGAGAAUGCCAGGUAAGUGGCAAUUCUCAAUUUUCACGUGAUCAAAAUAAG